rnacentral:rRNA from 1 species
UACGGGGGGGGGCAAGCGUUGUUCGGAAUUACUGGGCGUAAAGGGCUCGUAGGCGGCCAACUAAGUCGGACGUGAAAUCCCCAGGCUCAACCUGGGAACUGCGUCCGAUACUGGAUGGCUUGAAUUCGGGAGAGGGAUGCAGAAUUCCAGGUGUAGCGGUGAAAUGCGUAGAUAUCUGGAGGAAUACCGGUGGCGAAGGCGGCAUCCUGGACCGACAUUGACACUGAGGCACGAAAGCGUGGGGAGCGAACCGG